UACGUAGGGUGCAAGCGUUGUCCGGAAUUAUUGGGCGUAAAGAGCUCGUAGGCGGUUUAUUGCGUCGGCUGUGAAAUCCCGAGGCUCAACCUCGGGUCUGCAGUCGAUACGAGCAAACUAGAGUGUUGCAGGGGAGACUGGAAUUCCUGGUGUAGCGGUGAAAUGCGCAGAUAUCAGGAGGAACACCGGUGGCGAAGGCGGGUCUCUGGGCAACAACUGACGCUGAGGAGCGAAAGCGUGGGGAGCGAACAGG
rnacentral:rRNA from 1 species